rnacentral:rRNA from 1 species
GACGAACCGUGCGAACGUUGUUCGGAUUCACUGGGCUUAAAGGGCGCGUAGGCGGACGGUCAAGUCGGGGGUGAAAUCUUUCAGCUUAACUGGAAAAGUGCCUCCGAUACUGAUCGUCUCGAGGGAGGUAGGGGCAUGUGGAACUUCCGGUGGAGCGGUGAAAUGUGUUGAUAUCGGAAGGAACGCCGGUGGCGAAAGCGACACACUGGGUCUCAACUGACGCUGAGGCACGAAAGCCAGGGGAGCGAACGGG